rnacentral:misc_RNA from 1 species
UGGCGGCAUGAUGCAGCAACGAGCAUUUUGCUGUCA